CGAGUACUUAGAGAGGCAGCUUGAAAGUGGGAAUACACGGGCAGCAAUGGUGACACAGUUGUGUAAAAUUGGAGGAAAAAACUUCAAAGACAGUACAAGAAGAAUGCUGGACAGUGUUUUCAAAAAUUCCCUGAUGUCUACAUUCAACAUGAAAGGAGGAGGUCCACUACAGAAGAAGUCCUUUCAAUCAACUGCCUUAUUCUCAGUCAUCAGAGGUAUGC